rnacentral:rRNA from 1 species
GACGAACGCUGGCGGCGUGCUUAACACAUGCAAGUCGAACGGAAAGGCCCUGCUUUUGUGGGGUGCUCGAGUGGCGAACGGGUGAGUAACACGUGAGUAACCUGCCCUUGACUUUGGGAUAACUUCAGGAAACUGGGGCUAAUACCGGAUAGGAGCUCCUGCUGCAUGGUGGGGGUUGGAAAGUUUCGGCGGUUGGGGAUGGACUCGCGGCUUAUCAGCUUGUUGGUGGGGUAGUGGCUUACCUAGGCUUUGACGGGUAGCCGGCCUGAGAGGGUGACCGGCCACAUUGGGACUGAGAUACGGCCCAGACUCCUACGGGAGGCAGCAGUGGGGAAUAUUGCACAAUGGGCGGAAGCCUGAUGCAGCAACGCCGCGUGCGGGAUGACGGCCUUCGGGUUGUAAACCGCUUUCGCCUGUGACGAAGCGUGAGUGACGGUAAUGGGUAAAGAAGCACCGGCUAACUACGUGCCAGCAGCCGCAGUAA